UAGAAGACAGUUCUGAAAAGGUGUAUUUUUCCUUGAUCUGCAUGAUUUCUCUGUCCCAUAUGACAGAGCAGGACAAGAAGACAGCCAACAGAAGCCUCUCCAAAGCAUGGGGUCAAGGAGAGACAGACAAAAAGAAAAACACCAGUUCUAAUCUGGCAUUUAUUUCUGUCCCUGGAUCAGCUGAAGUUUAUACGUCUGUGGCCUGGAAAAAUUGUGACAGCAGUUUACAUUAUGGCAUUGUUAAUUACUCCUUAAAUUAUCUUCCAGAAAUUGUGAUGAAUAAGCGAUGUAGAUCAACACUUCAAAGAUAUGCUAACCGUUGGUACUAUUUAUUAUUUUGAAU
rnacentral:lncRNA from 1 species